GAGUUGAUUAUCCCUGAUUAACUUAAGUCGAUGAUACCUAACCUAGGUAUAGAGAAUAUCAUUUCUCCUCGUAGCCCUAAAUCGCCGACUCCUCACUCUCUUCUUUCCUGAAAAUCGUCGCUCCCUCUCGCACCAGCUCAUCCCGCGGUCGUCGAUCCAGCCCCAGCGGACCACAGCUCUCGGCCAGACGCCACUCCACACAGAUCAUCUCCCUGAAACGCUACGAUCGGACAAGGAUCGGGCGAUUCCCCGCGACGGUGGCACGGAUCUGGUGAGCUCGGGCAUCCGACAGAGGAACAAGAAGGAAGAAGGUGAGGAUGUGUCUCUGGACACAACGGAGGGCCUACGGACGGAGUAGGCGAUGAGGCGGGAUGGACGCAUGGCGUUGUCCGGAUAUUAGGAGUGCUGAGCUUAUGUUCUUCAUGGGAAGGGUUUUUGCUUUGGUGAUGUCGAGAGUUCUUAAACGAGUUUUCUUUGUUAUACUUUGUGAGGAAUGUUGGCUUUUACGUUCGAUGAAAUAAUAUUUUGAUUUGGUAUCA